GUCCCUGUAGCACAAUGGUUACUGCAUUAGACUUCUAAUCUAAAAGUUCGAAUCUCACAUGGGAUG